ACUGCUGCAGCUGCUGCCGCCGCCGGAGGAACCUUGAUCCCCGUGCUCCGGACACCCCGGGCCUCGCCAUGGCUGACCAGCUGACUGAGGAGCAGAUCGCAGAGUUCAAGGAGGCCUUCUCCCUCUUUGACAAGGAUGGAGAUGGCACUAUCACCACCAAGGAGUUGGGGACAGUGAUGAGAUCCCUGGGACAGAACCCCACUGAAGCAGAGCUGCAGGAUAUGAUCAAUGAGGUGGAUGCAGAUGGGAACGGGACCAUUGACUUCCCGGAGUUCCUGACCAUGAUGGCCAGAAAGAUGAAGGACACAGACAGUGAGGAGGAGAUCCGAGAGGCGUUCCGUGUCUUUGACAAGGUAAGCAGCCCUCUCCAGGGGCGGCUAUGAGACUGACGCCGGCCUUCAGGCAGACAGGCGGAACUGGAGCCACGGAGCUACCACUUCCAGGAGGCCCGGGUCCCGGUGCCAGCCUCACUGCCAACCUGCUCUGCCACCUCAGGCAGCCUCCCUCACUGUACUCACUGCUGAGGGAUGGUGAUGACAGCCACCCCUCUCACUGCCUCUCCCCGCCGGGAGAAGUGCCCAGUGAAAGGCUUUAUCCCCAACCCUCAGGAUGGGAACGGCUACAUCAGCGCCGCAGAGCUGCGUCACGUAAUGACGAACCUGGGGGAGAAGCUGACCGAUGAGGAGGUGGAUGAGAUGAUCAGAGAGGCUGACAUCGAUGGAGAUGGCCAGGUCAAUUAUGAAGAGUUUGUACAGAUGAUGACUGCAAAGUGAAGGCCCCCCGGGCAGCUGGCGAUGCCCGUUCUCUAGAUCUCUCUGUUCUCGCGCGCGCACUCUCUCUUCAACACUCCCCUGCGUACCCCGGUUCUAGCAAACACCAAUUGAUUGACUGAGAAUCUGAUAAAGCAACAAAAGAUUUGUCCCAA
rnacentral:sRNA from 1 species